rnacentral:rRNA from 1 species
UGCCAGCAGCCGCGGUAAGACGAACCGUCCAAACGUUAUUCGGUAUCACUGGGCUUAAAGCGUGCGUAGGCGGCUUGGUAGGUGAGAUGUGAAAUCCCAUGGCCUAACCAUGGAACUGCAUUUUAAACCACAAGGCUUGAGGGAGACAGGGGUAAGCGGAACUCACAGUGGAGCGGUGAAAUGCGUUGAUAUUGUGAGGAACACCGGUGGCGAAGGCGGCUUACUGGGUCUCUUCUGACGCUGAGGUACGAAAGCUGGGGUAGCGAACGGGAUUAGAUA